UGCAUAUGGCUUGGGCCGAUCUGCACCAGCGUCCCGAAUAUUGCCAGGCAAUAGUUGGCUCGAUGCACCGCAGACUACUCGCCGUAUUAGCCACCGAUGGACACGCUAUAAAUUACUGAGAGGUUUCCUCCACGAAGAUCGAUGUAGUGCUCGGUAUUUACGGCUGCUCGUACGAUAUGUAUUUCAACUCUAAGAAAAUUAUCAGAACGCUAGACGAUACGCCACUGCAGGCUGGAAAGGAUUAUCUUUCAUUUGCUGAACAAUUUGUUUAUCUUCGGCCGGAGUGAUGCAUCUUUAUCCCACGUUAAAAUUUCGCUGGUCUUGAAACAUAGCACCUUCACCCAUUUGAUAUCUUUGCACUCAUCUUCUAACAGUUUUCACACAGCAUUGAACUUGUGCGGCAAUUUCCUGCACUGUAUUUAUUUUGUAAUUUUGUAAAAAGACAACAUUUGAAAUUAUCGUAUUUACGAGAUAGGCAACAAAUGUGUAGUUAAAUUUGAUAUUUUCAUUUUAACAGUUGUUAAUUUUAAAAAUAAAUGCAUUAUAUUUGUUUUAUUGCAUGUAUUGUAUUUAUUUUACAUAUAUUUGAGUAUAUAGAUCCACGGUGGCAGCUCGUUGCAACGAGAUUUUACCGUAAUAAUUACGCAAGCGCGUCACGUAUCGAUGCGAUAGAUUUAGUUUAGAACGGCGAGUAAACAAAUUUAAAGAACGAUAACUAAUGAAGAUUUAACUGGAUAUUAAUAAAAGUGCGGUAGAGUGUG